ACGGAGGGUGCAAGCGUUAUUCGGAUUUAUUGGGCGUAAAGAGCGUGUAGGCGGCCGGUCAAGCCAGAUGUGAAAGCCCAGGGCUUAACCCUGGAAGUGCAUUUGGAACUGGUUGGCUUGAGUUCGGGAGAGGGAAGUGGAAUUCCGGGUGUAGAGGUGAAAUUCGUAGAUAUCCGGAGGAACACCGGUGGCGAAGGCGACUUCCUGGACCGAAACUGACGCUGAGACGCGAAAGCGUGGGGAGCAAACAGGAUUAGAUACCCUGGUAGUCCACGCUGUAAACGAUGGGCGCUAGGUGUGGGGGGUUUUUAAUCCCUCCGUGCCGGAGCUAACGCAUUAAGCGCCCCGCCUGGGGAGUACGGCCGCAAGGUUA
rnacentral:rRNA from 1 species